AUCUAUAUAUCAUUUAAUCCUCAUAGGUUCCCUGAAUUAAAAGUAUUAGAUUAAUUUUCAGGUAAGAAAACUGAUGCUUAGAGAGGUGAGGAAGCAUGCCUUAAGUGAUCAAGGUGGAGGACUCAAGCCGGGAUGAAAGCCAGGAUGUAGGACUCCAAGGUUAAGACUUGGUGUGUUUCCUCUUGCUCUGAAUAAUGCCAGGCUGCACCGUGAUGUCAAAGACCCAGACCUAGAAGCUAAAACUGUGGCUUCUCAUGCCGGCCCUGCCA
rnacentral:lncRNA from 1 species